UACGGAGGGUGCAAGCGUUGUCCGGAAUCACUGGGCGUAAAGGGCGCGUAGGCGGCCCGGUAAGUAGGGGGUGAAAUCCUGCGGCUUAACCGCAGGGCUGCCUUCUAAACUGUCGGGCUCGAGCACGGUAGAGGCAGAUGGAAUUCCCGGUGUAGCGGUGAAAUGCGUAGAUAUCUGGAGGAACACCGGUGGCGAAGGCGGCAUCCUGGACCGACACUGACGCUGAGGAGCGAAAGCCAGGGGAGCAAACGGG
rnacentral:rRNA from 1 species